GAGACGGAGUCUCGCUCUGUCACCCAGGCUGAGUGCAAUGGCACGAUCUCAGCUCACUGCAACCUCUGCCUCCCAGGUUCAGGCGAUUCUCCUGCCUCAGCCUCCCUAGUAGCUGAGAUUACAGGCGCCCGCCACUACACCCGGCAAAUUUUUGUAUUUUUAGUAGAGACAGGGUUUCACUGUGUUAAUCAUCCUAGUCUCGAACACCUGACCUCGAUCUUCCACCUGCCUUGGUCUCCCAAAGUGCUGGGAUUACAGGCAUGAGCCACCUCACCUGGCCCUGCUUCAGACUUUUAGGUUAUAGGAAUUGGCUAUGGUAGGUCCCCCCAAAAAAAAAUCUAAAAUGAGAUUACCACCAUUUUGAUUUUUUUUUCUUUUUCUGUAUUAAUAGGGCCAUUCACAUGUUAAACUGCAGCUUGCAGCCAUGUUUUGUAUAUCAAACCUCAUAUGGAAUGAAGAGGAAGGUUCACAAGAACGCCAGGAUAAAUUACGAGACAUGGGCAUCGUAGAUAUUCUACACAAACUGAGUCAGUCACCAGAUUCAAACCUUUGUGACAAGGCAAAGAUGGCACUGCAGCAGUACCUGGCAUGAUGGGAGUGCCCCUGGGCACCUGCGAGCAUCCCACCUCCUUGUUUAAGGAAGUACAGGAACCAGCCUCAUUUGAUUCCUUCUAUUUGCACAAGUCACCUUGGACUGCAGGGAGCUGUUUUGCAAAAGCAGUUUAGUAGGCUUAGAUCUCAAAUUCAUCUUGAGAACAUUUUUUUGAGGUAGUAAUUUCCUCAGAAGACUCUUGUGUUUUGUUUUGGUUUUUUUUUCUGAGCUACUCGGACUCUUUAUUAGAACAAUCAAUCAUUUUCCUUUGGACCUACAAUUUUUGCCUAUGCUGCAGCCACUUUGUGAGUGAGAAUGAAUAUGUCUGUGUGAACACACAGGCAUGCGUGUGUAUGUGCACGUACAUGGGCCAGAAUGAAUGGAUGUGUGUGUGUGAGGGAUACCUCAGAUUUUUCUUUUCUUAUUUUGUGUGAAAAUCUCUUUUCUACAGAUUUUCCAGGGUUUAAGCAUUGCUUGCUGUAUAAAAAACUUUACUGAAUUAUAUACAGUUUGAAUGAAAUGUUAUUUUAAAAACAAAACAAUUGUUAAGUGUUCCAUAAAGGUUAUGUUGAAUUUUGGUCAGAUGAAUAUUUGUAAGUAAAAAAUAUAUGCAUUUCUGAA
rnacentral:lncRNA from 10 species